UACAGAGGUCCCGAGCGUUGUUCGGAUUCACUGGGCGUAAAGGGUGCGUAGGCGGUCGGGUAAGUCUGAUGUGAAAUCUCACAGCUUAACUGUGAAACUGCAUUGGAUACUAUUCGGCUUGAGAGUUGGAGGGGGGACUGGAAUUCUUGGUGUAGCAGUGAAAUGCGUAGAUAUCAAGAGGAACACCAGUGGCGAAGGCGGCGACCUGGGUCGAUACUGACGCUGAGGUGCGAAAGCGUGGGGAGCAAACAGG
rnacentral:rRNA from 1 species